UUUGGAAGUCAGCUGAAGGGCCCAGAGUUCAGAUUCUGUGGGACAGGCGUGAGGAGGCCAACGCGUUUUAUCCCUUUUGGCUCACCGUUCGACUGUCAACUAAGUUUCAACAAGGACAUAAGGAAAAGAAAUUCUCUGCUUCAGAUGUUUGAGAAGUGAUGAUUCAAGCUGGUGGAGGCUUCCUGAAACUGUGAUGGAAAGAACC
rnacentral:lncRNA from 1 species